rnacentral:ribozyme from 1 species
UGUUUUUUUUUUUUUUUUUUUUUUUUUUUUUUUUUUUUUU